UAGGUGAGGUCCCGAGUGACCCACUGGGUGUUGGGUUCUGUGGAUCUGUCUCAUCAGGUGCUGUGGAAUUCAGGGACACCCUCCUGUCUGUGGAAUUGUGUGGAGACAGGUAGACAUCAGUGUCUGGCCAGGCGGGGGAGCCACUGCUUGGUUUCCAUGAAAGCUGACCAGGGUCUUUGACCGUGAUUCCUAGCAGCUGCAAGGGGAGAGGAGGCCGGAGGUGGUGCACACUUCCUAGACUUGUGGUCAGGACUAGUCUGGAACCCACUGAAGUCAGCCACACCAGGCACAGAAGGCACCCAGUCAGUGUAGCUGUGGGCACUGCUCCCAUGGUACUUUCGGGCCAGCUCCAUGCUGCCACCUCCUGCUUUUCAUCAUCAUCUUCAAGGUCAUGUGCCUCUGCUCUUGCCCCAUGGCCUCCAGGGUAUUGUCAGUCCUCCAUCUGGCCCUUGUCCCUGGUGCCCUGUGCAGUCUGAUGGCAGGAUAGCCUUCUCGAGACAAACAUCUGGCCCUGAUGGAACACUUCCAUGUAUCUCGUGUGAUGCGAGGAUGAAGCCCUGCCCUGGAAGGUGGCUGCAAGUCCCCAAUCAGGAGAGCCAUGUCUCCCUUUUCACCAUGGCCUGCCCUUCCCUCAGUCUUCUUCAGGGAAGCUCUCCCCACUUCCUGAGAUGACAGCUCUGAACUUAAAAAUGAAUGUUAUUUUACAUAUCUCUAUGCCUUAGUUCAUCCAUGGCAUGUCUUUCAACCCCGUUAGUGGGUUUUUUUUUUUUUUUAGCAGUUCUCAAGGGCUGUCUGCUCAAGGAGGGGAUGACCUGGGUGAGGCAGCUUUCCCUCUCAUCUCCCUCAGCAUGUCUCUGAGCCCUGGGGCCAGAUGUCCCACUGAGGAUUGAAGGACGCGAGCCAGCCCCUCCUGAGCCCAGGCUGUGUCAGCUGUGUAGACGGAUGCGUGUCGGAGCGGUGGGCAGCUGGCAUGGGCCAGGGGCAGGCACUGUCCCACUGAGGAUUGAGGGACCCGAGCCAGCCCAUCCUGAGCCCAGGCUGUGUCAGCUAUGUAGACAGAUGCAUGUCGGAGUGGUGGGCAGCUGGCAUGGGCCAGGGGCAGGCAGUGUCUCCUCAUUCCUUCCCUCCCUUCCUCCCAGAGGUAGCUCAGAGCAGCCUUCAACCCCUGCAUCUCCAGAUCCCUUGACCUACACCUCCUGUGUUCAGCUGGUGGCCUUGGAGUUUCGCAUGGAUUCUACCUCCUCUACCCUCUCCCGUAGCAGUUCCUGGAUCAGGGGAGGGGUCGGACUCUUGUCUGCUUUUGGUCUUCCUGUCCCGCUCCAAGCCCACCCACCUUUGCGUCUUCUAUAUAUGUGCUUGGAAGCAAGCCCAUCCACAGGGAACCUAUUAGCCAAAUGGAUCCAGGCAAUGAACAUUGAAGUAGAGAUCCAGG
rnacentral:lncRNA from 1 species